rnacentral:RNase_P_RNA from 1 species
CGAGUCGGUCAGAUGGUCGCAUCGGAAGAUGAGGAAAGUCCGAGCAUCACAGGGCAGAGCGGCAGAUAACAUCUGCUGAAGGUGACUUUAAGGAAAGUGCAACAGAAAUAAACCGCGAUUUUAAUGUCGCAAGGGUGGAAAGGUGCGGUAAGAGCGCACCGGCAGUUCGGAGACGAAAUUGGCCGUGUAAACCCCGCUCGAUGCAAGAGAAAAGAGUCAAUGGAUCGCCCGUCCGACUCCUAAAUCGCUGGAGUUCAUUGGUGACAAUGAGCCUAGACAGAUGACCGUCAAAUACAGAACUCGGCUUAUAGACCGACUCGCAUA